AAGGCUCCCGGUAGACGACCGGGUUGAUAGGCCGGGUAUGGAAGCGCGGUAACGUGUGGAGUUGACCGGUACUAAUAGGCCGAGUGGCUUGAACACACAA
rnacentral:rRNA from 1 species